GAUCCAAUUCUGUGCUAUAUCCAAAUGUAUAAAUAAAAAACAAAACAGAAGUGUAGAUGAUCUCUUCUCAGGACUCAUUUGCAUCUGUAAAUGAAUGUGAGAGUGUGCUGGAGAGCUGGUCCAGCCUUCCAAUAACAACAUGUCCUGGCUCUAUGAAAAAACUGAUCUGUGAAGCUGCAGAUUGAGGACUGAUUGCUUUGAGAAUACUGAACUUAACAAAUCAGGAGUGGAAAUUUUUUGGAAGCUGAGGCAUGGACUUGGAGUGGUUGAGAUAUUUAAGAUUCAUAUUUUUCAAUCUGUUGAUGAACAAGAUAUUGGAAUUCUGACUUGGUGAGGCAAGUGGGCAUCGUAUACACCUAAUCCUAUGUGGAAGGGUUUCUCUGUGUAGCUUUGGAGCCUGUCCUGGCACUCACUCUGGAGACCAGGCUGGCCUCAAACUCACAGAGAUCUGCCUGCUUCUGCCUCCCGAGUGCUGGGAUUAGAGGCGUGCACCACCAAAGCCUGGCUAAAACUACCAAUGUUAAACAAAACACCCAACUUUGAGCUCUUCAAUGCAAGAGUUGAUCUGUUCUGAUUGUUCUUUCUCUGAUGGGAACAGGACAAAGAUGGAGGUGUUCCUAGCAAUGAGAUUCCACAAUGUAGAAAUGCAGUGUGUUAAACAUGAAAGUGUUAUUCAAAAUGGGAAUCAGUAUACCACAAGAUCCAGAAAUUCCACUCUUAGGCAUAGACCCAAAAGAAGCAUAUUCAUACAACAUGGACACCUGUUAACGAUGUUCAUCACAGCAUUAUUUGUAAUAGCCAGAACCGGAAGCAAUCUAGAUACCCCUCAACUGAAGAAUGGAUAGAGAAAAUGUGGUACAUUUACACAAUGGAGUACUACUCAGUGAAAACAACAACAACAACAAUGGAAUCUUGAAAUUCGAAGGCAAAUGAUGGAACUAGAAGAAACCAUUCUGAACGAAGUAACCCAGUCACAAAAAGACAAACAUGAGCCUUCAUCCAGUAGCUGUUCGAAGCAGAAACAGGCACCCAUAUCUAAGCACUGAACCAUACUCCUGGUAUCCAGUUGUUGAGAAGGAGGAGGGAUGAGCAAAGGAGCCAAGAUGGUGCUGCAGAAACCCACAGAAACAGUUGACCUGACCUACUGAGAGCAUGAAGACCCUAGUCAUAAAGCUGGAGAAACAACAUUGGAUCAGACCAAGCCCUCUGAAUGUGGGUGCCAGCUAGGAGGCCAAGGCAGUCUAUGGGACCUCUAACAGUGGAGCCAGUCUUUAACCCUAGAGCAUAAAUGGACUUUGGGAGCCCAUUUCCUAUGGAGGGAUACUAUUGCAGCCCAGAUACAGCAAGGAGGGCCUAGGCCUUUCCCAAAAAGGAUAUGACAGACUUUGAAGGUCUCUGGUGGAGAGGAGUUGGG
rnacentral:lncRNA from 1 species